UGUGUGUGAACUGCUAUAAAAAGCAAGGUCACAUCACAGGAAAGAAGUAAAACCAGUCAAAUCACUUUCUCCAGUUACCGAAUGCGACAUAGACGUUUUUUCUCCAUUUUCUUUCCCUGGCUGAUGCAGGCAAUCGUUGCUGCGAUUACUGGGAAUCAGAUUUGAGAUUUCAGUAGCUGUUUUCUGCAUUCAUUUUAAUGCAAAAAUCUGAAGUAGUUUUAGAACCAGGAGCAAACAGAUCUCCCUCAACUCACGUCUGUUUUAGUUGUGGUGUAAUUCUGUUGAAUUCUUCUAAAAGAAGUUCAGACAUUAAGGAUGACAAGAGAUAUGAACAAGACGACAGUGAAAGAACCAAAUGUAAUGAAAGGAAAGCAGAGAAAGAAAGCAUUGGGAGAUAAGGCCAAACUCACAGAAAAACAAGGAGCGGUGGAGGACAGAGCAGAAUUUACCCGUGUCAUCAGAGAACAUUUGAAAGUGGAGCAAAAGAACAGCAUUGAUCUAUUUUUUCGACCAAAUUACUGAUCUGUGACUCGUUCUGAUGUCUGAGACAGAAGAUGAGCUUCAUCUCAUUCUUCAGUCCCACACAGAUGUUCAUAUAAAGCACCAAUAUUUUCCUCCGGAAAUGCUCAGAUUCAGUACUAGUAUUGUAUCUGUACCGUGUACAUAUAGGUUAAAAAUACUGUACUAUUUUUUUUAGAUUUGACUACACAUCACACUUAAAACAAAGCAUUAAAUUACAUGAGACAUUGUGUUUGUGUGGCGGAGAAGAAGAGAGAUCCCUGAAUCUAUGAACAAAUCUUGACCUUCCGUUCUCUGAAUUCUAAAUUCUAGAUUUACAUGUGAUUUAAAAAAAAGAUUUUCAAACAUAUUUAUGCUUUGCAAAGUAUUCGUGUUCAAGUGCACGGUGAUGAAAUCAUUUGUAUGUCACACAUUUUAAACGUCUAUUAUUCCAUCCAGAAAAGAAAGUGAUGACUUUGUGUAAGGUGAUGAAAGUCUGUUUAUGCUUCAUAUGUGGAGUAAUGUUCCAUUACACUGUAUUCUGUUAAAGCUGAACCUGUAAACACAUGAUGUACAGUAUGUGUCUUAACCUGUGCAGUUUUUUGCACUUAAAAUAAGACGUUAAACUAAAAAAAUUUGCAAAAUGUAAAAAUUCUGAAGAUGAUCAUUAUGUAACAAACAGUAAAUAAAUUAAGAGUUUGCAGUUUGAUUGAUAUUAAUUGGUAUGCACAAUAAAAAAACAUGAUUUUUAUGCUUUUUAAAAACGUAGUCAUCUCAUUUUGGAAAUAAACUCUUCAAAUGUUGAUUGAUAUUAAAUGCCAACAAAGGGUUAGGGUUAACAGGAAAUGAUGUCAUCACUAGACAGGAGCAGACGUCUGAUUUCAUCAUGCCCUUCGUGUAAAACGUUCAGAUUUAUAUACAGAUCUAAAUUUAUGCAUUGUUAAAACUUCCUUAUGCUGACAAAAGUUUAUGUCACAGAUUUAUAUCUUAAACUCACAGCCGUUUACUUGUUUACAAACACAGUCAUUCUGUGUCAUUCUGGUUUAACGGCAUUUCUACAGUUUUCUAUAGGGAAAAUCCCCUGUCGUCGAUCUGCCUUCAACAUUCAAUCCUUCAUCAAUCUGAUCAGGUUCUUGGUGUAUUUUCUUGACCAGACUUUACUAAUGGUGCUGUGAGAACAGAACUGCAUGUACAAUACUCAAAUAAAGUCUGAUUAGAAUCAUGUAAUACAAUCAUCUCUCAGGACUUCUGUAAUGGCAGAGAGCUUAAGAAGUUUGUUGGAGUUGUGAG